rnacentral:rRNA from 1 species
GUCAGGAUGAACGCUGGCGGCGUGCCUAACACAUGCAAGUCGAACGGAGUUAUAGCCGGAAGUUUCGGAUGGAAAGCUAUAAACUUAGUGGCGGACGGGUGAGUAACGCGUGGGCAACCUGCCCUGUACCGGGGGAUAACACUUAGAAAUAGGUGCUAAUACCGCAUAAGCGCACAGCUGCGCAUGCAGCAGUGUGAAAAACUCCGGUGGUACAGGAUGGACCCGCGUCUGAUUAGCUAGUUGGUGGGGUAGAGGCCCACCAAGGCGACGAUCAGUAGCCGGCCUGAGAGGGUGACCGGCCACAUUGGGACUGAGACACGGCCCAAACUCCUACGGGAGGCAGCAGUGGGGAAUAUUGCACAAUGGGGGAAACCCUGAUGCAGCGACGCCGCGUGAGUGAAGAAGUAUUUCGGUACGUAAAGCUCUAUCAGCAGGGAAGAAAAUGACGGUACCUGACUAAGAAGCCCCGGCUAACUACGUGCCAGCCGCAGC